CCAAGUUAUGUCCUAUUUCAAUAGUAAUAUAAAAACUAUAGAAGAACGUAAUGAAGGCCUAGUCCCCGUUAUAAAAGAAGCUUAUAAAUGUCAGAUUAAAAACAAAUUGAUUGCUAAACUUUAUCAGAACUUACAAUCACUUAAGGAUCAAUCAACCAAUUAUAUCAAAAUUAAAUGGGAAACGGAGGCUAAAAUCAACACAUCAGAGGACAGUUGGUUAAAUAUAUGCAGGACACAGAUGGAAACUACUAGCUCGGGUUAUUGGAGGGAAUUCACGUGGAAAAAUUUUAUUAGGUUUUUUAUAACACCCAAAAUAAAAUACAAACAAAAAGGUCAACUGACAGAUGGACACUGCUGGAGAAACUGUGGGGAAAACAUGGCAGAUCAUUUCCAUAUAUUUUGGAAAUGCCCAAUAAUCCUGUCAUACUGGAGUGAAUUGGUCGAAUCAAUUUACUUGGUGACUGGUCUCAAACUAAAUUUGGAUUUUUGUACUGUGUACUGGGGCGAUAUCCCAUCAGCAGCCUCCUUAAAGGACAAAUACUUGAUAAACAUCCUGGAGAAAGCGCCCCCAACAAAGAAAGAUUGGAUAGGAAUAAUGGAGGAAAUAUAUAGAAUGGAAAAACUUACUUUUUUUUUUACCUUAAAAUGGACCAAUUUCAUAAAAACUGGAGGAAAUGGGAGAGAUUUGUUGAAGGUGGUAACGUGGGAUGAGGUAUUCACGCAACUACUGGAAGAAGGAAGGUCUGCUAAGGACGUUUUUUUUUUUUUUUUUUAAAGGUAGUUUAUAAAAGAGACUGGAAAUACCCUUCCGAAUAUGAUCAGGGAUGGACUGUAAAGUGCUGAGUGGACAGUAGUAAAAACCUAACGACAUGGGACCUGUAAAAAGGUGGAGGGGAGCUCCCCCAGGCCGAGUAGAUCUGCGUGGUUCACUGUGCCAUUAUAAUGCAGCUGUCCUAUAGACAAAUCUUCUUUUGCACCUGCAUAUCAGUCAUCAGGACCUCAUGCACAGUGCCCAGUGACUGGCAUCAGAAAAUAUAUCCCUUAAAUCAAAAAUAUAUUUAUUCUCGUCAGCAGCAGUUCUUUAAUCUGCAUUUCAGAGAGAAACACAUGAAUAAAAUGUGAGCUUACACUGUAUUAUUUGGUUAUUAGGCCUACAACACUCCUUCACCCUAGCUCAGCAUUUUGUUGUAAAUCUGUCCCACAGCCUACAAAAUUAAAUACGUUUUAAGUAAUAUAUUGUCCUACUUGAUAGCAAUACUUUCUAACUUUGGUCCUCGUCCCUGUCUAGGAUUUCGAUGACCAAAGUAAAAUUCCAUCCAUCACUUGUCCUGGUUGACCCAUAGUAAACAAUAUUAUAAACCUUUGGCCUGGAAUACAACAGCAGACAUUACUGACACAAAGUAAGUUACACAGAAGCUUGACUGAACUAUAAUCAAUUCACAUAGAUUAAUAUCUUGAUUUGAAAUGGUGGGCUAAAUAUGAAGCUGUGGAAAAAAAGUUGGGCAUCUUUCUUUGCCUUUAGAGAAUAAUUCUGAUGGUAAAAACCAAACGGGACAGGCGAGGGGGGAAAAAAAUGUUUUUUUUAAAAAAAACAAACAAGCAAAACCAAUCAAAGCAAAAAAAAAAAAAAUUAUUUAGGAACUAAAAUUGUUUGAUAAAUGCAGUUUAUCAGUAUAUGCUACAGAAUAUGUGACCACCAAUUAAUAAGGUCAUGUCCAAUCAGUCUUAGUCUCUCCUCUUUGCGUCUUCUCCAGUGUCACCUGUGUGUAGUCAGUUUUGUCUGUUUACUAGUGUCAAGUUUGUGUCUCUGUCUUGCUCUCACUCCCUUUCCCUCUCUCUCUCUGCUCUUUGCUGUCCACUUUAUUUUCUCAUCAUAGUGGUCAUGUUCAAUGCACUCACAAUCUUAAUGACUCCAAUACAUGGACGUUUUAGAGAUUACAUCACAGACGCUGGGUUGUUUUUCCAUAUUUGUUGAUCGCUCUGGUUAAUUUCAGAAUGUUUUUUUAUUUACUUUUGUAUAUACUGAUCAAAAAGACCAAAGUAAGAAAAAGUGAACAACUUCAGUCUGACAUUUAAAAUUAUACAUCGACUCAUCUUGCAAUCAGGCC
ensembl:lncRNA